rnacentral:rRNA from 1 species
AUGAACGCUGGCGGCGUGCCUAAUACCUGCAAGUCGCGCGCACAGACGAGGAGCUUGCUCCUCUGACGUUAGCGGCGGACGGGUGAGUAACACGUGGAUAACCUACCUAUAAGACUGGGAUAACUUCGGGAAACCGGAGCUAAUACCGGAUAAUAUAUUUAACCGCAUGGUUCAAUAGUGAAAGACGGUUUUGCUGUCACUUAUAGAAGGAUCCGCGCCGCAUUAGCUAGUUGGUAAGGUAACGGCUUACCAAGGCAACGAUGCGUAGCCGACCUGAGAGGGUGAUCGGCCACACUGGAACUGAGACACGGUCCAGACUCCUACGGGAGGCAGCAGUAGGGAAUCUUCCGCAAUGGGCGAAAGCCUGACGGAGCAACGCCGCGUGAGUGAUGAAGGUCUUCGGAUCGUAAAACUCUGUUAUUAGGGAAGAACAAAUGUGUAAGUAACUAUGCACGUCUUGACGGUACCUAAUCAGAAAGCCACGGCUAACUACGUG